AACGUAGGUACCGAGCGUUAUCCGGAUUCACUGGGCGUAAAGCGCGUGCAGGUGGUUGGAUAAGUCGGGCAUGAAAUCUCUUGGCUCAACUGAGAGAAGCUGUCCGAAACUAUCCGACUUGAGGGUGUGAGAGGGAGGUGGAAUUCCGCGUGUAGUGGUGAAAUGCGUAGAUAUGCGGAGGAACACCAGUGGCGAAAGCGGCCUCCUGGCACACUCCUGACACUCAGACGCGAAAGCUAGGGGAGCGAACGGG
rnacentral:rRNA from 1 species